rnacentral:lncRNA from 1 species
CUCAAAUCAGAGCAGUGCACUCAGCGUCUACUUUAUUGCCGUAAUCACCUUCUUCGUGUUCUUUGAGAGUUGCUGCUGAAUUGGGAAUUUCUUCAAUGCCAUGGAGAGGAGUGAUGAUUCAUAUAUAGUAUAUAAAAUCUUCGUACCUAUUGUAACCUUUGGGUUUUUGUCAAUCUGCUGUGCUGGCUUCUGUAAAAUAUUCCAGCGAGUUCGUAAGGAGCGCGUGGAGCAUCUGCAGGCUCAAGCUCGAGCCGUGGAUCAACGGACCGUCUACGUCAUUCCAAUCUCUCUGUCUGAAGAUGAGCUGCACAGACCACCGCACUACAGCACUGUACAGUUCUACGAGCCGCCUCCUGCUUAUCAUGAGUUAAAUCUGAAGCCCGAGGCCUGUCCUGUGGAACCUCCUCCUGCAUAUUCAGAAUCUGUCUCGCCACCCUCACAUUCAUGAUCACACCAAACAUAAGCGCAUCUCAAGCACUUGGACUGGUUAAAAGAAAAAUAAGAGGCAACGUCAUAUUCUCAUGACUUUUCCAAGGACUAUUACUCAAUGCAAAGGUUUAAAUGGUGAGAAGGAAAAUGUCACAGUUAUAGUAAUCUGCGAUUCUGUUGGGAUUUUGAACAUGUUCUACAGGGUCACAAAGAAAGACUGUUUUGCACGAUGAGCAGCAGAACUUGUUUAAAGGUUUAAAAGUAUAUAUAUAUAUAUAUAUAUAUAUAUGUUUUGUGAAUAUUUAUACAUUUUGUACAUGCAAUAGCCUUUUUGUUAACUUGUGAAAAACAGGUUGACCUGUUGUAAACUGUAUAGCUGAAAAUGUAUGAUAAAAAUAAUGCAUAAACACUGGCUCUUAAUAAUGUCCUGAGAGUAUGUUAAAAGUUAACGAGAGAUAAUAAAUUAUAUGUAGUAUAAGCCAUCUUUCUGACUGUCUGGAAGCUCACUCUUCAUGGUCAACAUGCCACCUGAGCUGCACCCUCAGAAGCCAAAGUCCAGCACGGUUACAACAGAGGAGGUGAAGCUCCGCCUCCUGCAUUACCACUGCCACUGUCCUCAUGGUCCUACGCAGAUAUAAGCCAAUGCAUUUAUUAUUACUCAUAAAAUGUGAACCAUCACAUUUAGAAUUCACAGCUUUGGCUGUUCAGAAGGUCCAUUGACAGUUACAUGCACACACAGUCACAUAAGUGCAAUUUUGUUAGUAAACAAUGUAAAAAAUAAAAUCUACCUCUUCAAACGCUUUAAUGUCAGCCAAGGUUAUAUAACUGCAUACAGUUACAUUGCUUACAGUUUCUCUCUUUGUCUGUCCAUUUAUUGAUUUGUUAUUAAUGUAAUAUUAAACAUUUGAUUGAAUUAAUUGAUUUAUUAUUAAACAUUUACC